rnacentral:lncRNA from 10 species
AUUCUAGCCUGGAGCUUUAGAAGACGAAGUAAAAAAGAAGUCAGACAGUCCUAGCUUUGAAUCCUGGCCCAGCCACUUACUAGGUGGGAGACCUUGGGACAAUCGUAUCCCUUCUGGGGGAAUUUCCCCACCUCCAUGUUGAAGCCAAGGAUGACUAGUACUCCAUGGAAAAGAGGUCAACAUGAUAACCAGGAGAUGUGGUCAUGGGGCAUUAAAAGGUUCGAAGCUGUUCCAGAAAGGAUGUCAUUGAUGUGGAAUACAGGUGAGCCACUUGGUCCUCAAGGGAGUGCCAGGGAGGAGAGUAAACACCACCUGGCAGGCCAGGUGUGGUGACUCACUCCUGUAAUCCCAGCACUUUGGGAGGCCGAGGUGGGUGGAUCACCUGAGGUCAGGAGUUUGAGACCAGCCUGGCCAACAUGGAGAAACCCCGUCUCCACUAAAAAUAAAAAAUUAUCCAGGUGUGGUGGUGCAUGCCUGUAGUCCUAGCUGCUUGGGAGGCUGAGGCACAAGGAUUGCUUGAACCCAAGAGGUGGAGGUUGCAGUGAGCCAAGAUCAUGCCAGUGCAUUCCAGCCAAAACAAAACAAACAAAAGACCACAUGGCAGUGAGGAGGCUCCCAUAGUGAUCCCAAGCAACGUGUGUUCCAUCCCUGUGGCCUGCUAAGUGAGGUUUCCAGCAAUUCAGUUGAGGCUGCUGGCCAGCCGGGGCUUCUGUUAUUGGUGCCCACACCAUUUGGUUGGCCCCUCCAGGAGAAAGGCCUGAGGAGCCUGGGGACUUGUACGAUGUAGCUUGGUGGCCAGGAGGGUGGGUGCCUGUGUCAGAGCGCUUGAGCCAGAUCCUGAAUCUGCUACUCACAAGGAGUGUGAGUCUGGAUACAUUGAUAAACCCUUCUGUAAAUGCAAAUAAUUUCUUAAUCUGUCAAAUGUGAAUCAUAAUUGUACCUAUACUUUAUUGGAUCGUGGGAAGAUUAAAAGGGUUAAUAUAUGGAAACACUUAAUACAGAGCCUAUACGUAAUAAACACCCAAUAAAUGUAAGCUUUUAAUAUCUUUUUGGUUUCUUUAUAUAUUAAAGUAUAGUGGUUUUCAACUGGGGACAAUUUUGCCCCCCACACCGCUGUCACCCCCACAUUUGGUUGUUAUAACUGGGGGGUGAGUGCUACUGGUUUCUAAUGGGUAGAGCUCAGAAAUGUUGCUAAACAUCCUCAAUGCACAGGACAGCCUCCCAUCGAAAGGAAUUACCUGGUUUAAAAUGUCUGUAGUGCUAAGGUUCAUAAAAACCAAACCAUGUGGAUCUUCCAUUGUUCACCAAGAAGUUGGUGAGAUAUUUGAUCCAACCACGAGACUGGGAAGAGAUUCAAGAGGUUAGUAAAAAGCGUCUUUGGUAUAAAUAAGUGGGGCUGUACCCCACAUCAUUUUGACCCAAUUCUCAAAUUCCACUUUCAGGAUUGGUUAAUUUGUUCCAUGUAUUAUCAAGCAAUAGGUGACAACUUGGAGAUCACUAGCAUUCUGGAAAACCAAUGGACAGCAACAAGGAAAUAAAAUAAACCAUAUUAGUUCCUAAGGUUCAGCUUUGCUCCUUGCAUGUAUGGACAUCUCCACCACUGAUGGGUUUACUCAUCAUACUUGCAGAAAACUUUAUAAAAUUCUAUUUGCGUGACUUUGUCCAAGAUAUUUUCUCUACCUGAAAUUUUCUGUUCUCCUUGCACCCUCACCCAACCCUAACUCCCCACACCCCCACCCCAUCUCUUGACUACUGAAAUUGACAUUUUUUUUUUUUUUUUGAGACAGAGUCUGACUCUGUCGCCCAGGCUGGAGUGCAGUGCUGUGAUCUCAGCUCACUGCAUCCUCUGCCUCCUGAGUUCAAGUGAUUCUCCCACCUCAGCCUCCGAGUAG